UUAACCUGUAUUCAAUCACGACCACUAGAUGCCAUGAUAUGUUUUUAUUUUAAUUUUUUAUACCAGCCGAUAGAGGGUUGAGGUUGAGGCAGGGAAACUCGCCAAGUAAAGCAAAGUUCCCAUUUCUUUCCAAUACGCCAAGCUGAGAGGGUAUCUGAGAGGGAGCUUUGAAUUAUCAAAGCUAAUUUUAAAUUUUUAUUGCAUAUCCCCCCCUGCCUUAAAAGAGAGCAAUGAUUCAAUCUCUGGUCGUGGUUAAAUUACAUUUAUUUUUGAUUUACAGAUCAAUAGAAAAAGAGAGAAGGAAACAGAUAGAGACACAGCAAUUUUUUUACAAACAGAGAGACACAUAAAUUUUUGAAAUUUCUUCGACUUUUAACUUUUUUUCGACUUUUCUCCUUUUCUUUCGGCAUCCAAAUUUUUCUCCAUUGACAUUCUAAUCCUCAUCCUCGCUGUCCGAGAAUAAAUCCGAGAAAGCGUUCGAAAGAUCGCUAUCUUCGUCCGAGGUGUUGUUGUUCCUCGCCUCCAAUGCCAACUUGGCCUUUUUGGCUUUCUUCUUUCGAAGACUCUUCUUUCGUUUGUGUUCACGUUCAACUGUCUUUUUUUAUACGAUAUGAUACACAUUUAGGCUUGAUUUCUUGCCGUCUUCAUAUCUAAGAUUGAAAAUGUCGAUUAGUGUAAAAUUUUUAAUCAAAACCGUUUUGACACUUACAAUACGACAGAGGCCGUCAGUUCUUCUCCCAGGCGUCCUACGUUUCCGCCCUUCGAAUCCUCUACAAUGACAGCUCCGCAACAGUCACGGUAAGUCUCUUUUUUUUACUCUAACUUUUUCUGACACUAUGAACAACAUUUGAAACAUGGAGAGCCAAGAAAGAAAAGGACCCAUUGGGAAAAUUGUAUUUGAAAAUUAACCAAUAAAGAUAAGAUAAAGAAAAUUAUGUUGCCGAACGCUCGCCUCUAGAAUAUGGGUUAAACUCACGGAGUAAGGGGUAAUGGUGGACGAGGGGUUGGAUAACACACGGGGUUGAUGGGGCCUUUGGCCAUCCUGCCGCGUCAAAGACCACGCACGGGGAAGCGAACGUCGGGCUCACAUAAUUUACUUACGGGGUAUUUAGUGCUGCUUCCGCUUCCUCCAAAACAGGGUGGACGGCUUCUAAUUUUUGCUCGGCCACGGUUUUGUCAGCCGCAAUGACGUCGACCAGCUGAUGUGCUCGAUCUUUGGCCAGCAAGACGUGAUUUUUGGUCGUUUCAGCUUCACGGGCUCUAUGCGUUUCAACUUCAACCUAAAGCGAAAAGUGAGAGUCUCUUUUUUUUAAGAGUUUCAUUGAUUCUUUGGACCGAUCGGACGUUUCAUUGAGAUUCUUGUUAGUUAUCCCACUGAGCCUGCAACGUACGGCUUGAACAGGCAGAAUCAAAAGCCUUUUGUAACAAAUAAUAAAAUACUUAGUAUCUAAGGAGUUUUAGAAACCAUUACACCAUACCUUUCAGGUAGCUUGAAACAUUCGGAAAAGUCUGCAUUGAAACGGUGUCCUGUAAUUUUUCGAUUGAAGAGAGAAGUUUUCAAUGUCAAGGCUUUUUCAAUUUGUCUAUUUGACGGACGUCAACGACGACGACGACAAACGUCAAGUUGGAGUCCGUAAAUCUAGAUGGCUAAAAAACACAAUAAUGGUCUUCAUUUUUUUUUCCUUCUACAGACUGAUAUUUUUUGACAUCUGAAUUGUUUCGACUCAUCCUCUUAAACUCUUCUCUUGAAUUUCUCUGCAUUGCUCUGCUCUGCCCCAUAGGCAUCUACUCGUCAUCCUCGUCGAGGCUACAAUCCGAGAAAGCGCUCGAAAGGUCGCUGUCCUCGUCCGAGGUGUUGUUGUUCGCCUCCAAAGCCAACUUGGCCUUUAUGGCUUUCUUGGUACGGUUGGCCUUCUUUCUUUUGCGUUCUCUUUCUUCUGGGUUUUUAAUUAAAAAAAUUAUUAAUUAAUUAUUUUUUAACUUGGUGUGGUGGGGUUCAAAUGUGGCUUUCUCUCUUGCACCAGCUAAUGCACCUAUUAGUACUUCUACAUCAGGUUUUCACUAAAGACGAAAUUAUGUAAACGAAAUGUCGUGGUUAAAUGACAUUUAUUGCAUCGAUACAUGGAAAAAGAGAGAAGGUAACAGAAAGACACAGACAUUUUUGAAACACACACACACACAUAUAUAGGCACUGUAAUAUGACAUCUGAAUUUUUCGACUCUCUUUUCUUGAAUUUCUCCUCAUUGCUUUUCUCUUCUCCAUAGGCAUUUACUCGUCGUCAUCCUCGUCGAGGCUGCAAUCAGAAAAAGCGCUCGACAGGUCGCUGUCCUCGUCCGAGUUUGCCUCCAAAGCCAACUUGGCCUUUUUGGCUUCCUUGAUUCUCCAGAAUCAACACUGGUGUCGUUUCCAGAACCAACAUCAGGAACUCCACAAGAAUCUGACUCCCCUUCAGAGGAUUCCACAACGGGGGUCACAUCUUCUUCGUCAGAUGCUUUAUCAUCUGAGGCUACUGAAGUGUUGAUGCUGGGCGAUCCGGAACUCAUCAAGGUGAAGAAAGGUGACAUAAUUCAGCUCCAGAGACGUGGAUUUUUUAUUUGUGAUUCUCCUUAUGAGCCGAUCAGGUCAAAACUUUAUAAUGGUAAUUUUACUUUUCAUUGGCUUUAACAUUGACUAAACUUAUUUGAAAAUUUUUUUAAAGAAAUGGGUAGCUUAAGUACAGAAAAAACACGAAAAGAAAGGAUUUCAUGAAAGGGGAUUAGGAGGAAUGUUUUUUCUCGUUGAAAUUGUAAAAUUAUUAAUCCAGUUUUUGACGUUUUGAUUCAGUCGGGUCAUCGCUCAGUCUUUUGACCUUGCGGCCUUCAUUCCCUUAAUUUUCAAUAAAUAAAAAUUAGUUUUUUAACAAUAAUUAUUAUUGAAAAUUUACCUUUAACCAAAUUGAUUUCCUCAUCCAUUUUUAGAUCAAUAGUUGACGCUGAAAAGCAAAAAAAAAACAUUAAUGUAUUAACAUUUUUUAAACUAAUGAUAUUUUGAAUUUCUUACCAGCAAAAGAGAUUUCAAGCUCGGCCAUGCUAUCAUCAGUUUCUUCUUGAGAGCCUGGGUUUACCUCAUGAGUAAAAUUCUCAGCAACAAAAUCGUCACCUGCAGAAUUUUUGGUAAAAUUUUAACACUUAUGACUUACUUAUAACAUCUUAAAACUAACCAUAGUGAUAAUCCAAGUCCUCCGUUUCAUCCCCCCAAUCUUGUUGAUGGAACAAACUUUAAAUUGUUUUAAAGGUAAAUUUGGACUUACAAUCCACAUUCGUAAUAAGUGUGAGUAUGUAUUGUCAUCCAUUUUAUGGUAUUUCUAUUCCAACAAGUUUUCAAUUCAACUGAAUUCAGGAAAGAAAUCAAACAAUUCAGUUUUAGACUUAGUCAAGGCUUUUAUCGGUGAUAAUUUGUCUAUUUGACGGACUACCCCAACGUCAAGUUGGAGUCCUUAAAUCUAGAUAGCUUUGGGGUACGAAUGGGCUUCACUCUCUGUCGUCUGCAAUGUUAGCGGUGGGUUUUUAUCAUUGGAAAAAUCAUAACUUUGAACGUCAUACAUUGUUUGUGUUCUAUCACAGACUAAGGUUCUAGUUAGUUCCAUGUACACCUGAAAAGUUAAAAUUGUUCAGCUAUGGCAGAUUCAGGAAAUAAUUCUAGAGGUAAAGAAAGAGGUGGGUUUCGUGUUAGAGGCAAUAACAACUGGUCACGUAUCGUUGUCUGCAUGGCCAAUCCCCCCCCUUACUUGUCUCGUCACAUUGUUCCAUAUUUACCUGGUCGUUCUUUGUGGUCUGAUAACCUUGCUCGCAUUAUUGUCUCUCCAAACCUAAACUUGCCAACUAUGGUCAGAGAGCUUUAUCACAGGCUGCACCUCGACUGUGGAAUGAUCUUCCAGCAUUAAUCUGUCUUGUCCCUAACUUUCCCGUGUUCAAGAGUCUUCGUCUUAAGACCCACUUGUAUGCCACUGCUUAUCUCUGAUUAUUUCAUGUCCAAUUGUGUGGUGGAGAAUAGAAUAGAAUAGAAUAGCUUCCCUCUGUGACUAUCAUCUUCAACUUGUGGCUCACCAUCAUCUGUAAUUAAAGGCAAGUUUAAUGUAGAUGGCUUUUAUUUCCAUAUAAAAUUUGAUUUUCCUGAAACGGCUGCCUCUACACUCUGUGCAAACUCUGUAAAGGUACUACAUUGUUUUCAUUGAAUAAUUUUAUUGUUUUAUUGUUAGUAGUGGCACACAUAGCUACCUUCUGCCAAGUAGUGAACAAAUGUCUCGUUCAAUUUAUUUAUUUCUUAAAAUUCUGUUAAAAAUUGAAGGUUCCAAAUAAUUGUGAUUACUUUUUCGAAAUUCUCCCUCGAGUCAGACCAGUCAGAAUCGCAGAGAUUCGUCAAUGGAUGAUGUUGGCUUGAACCGGACAAGAAGAUGAAAAAUGAAUGGAUGAAGAAAAUUUUACCUGAUCGCGAUACGAUGGAAAGUAUGAAAGAAUCCCGUUAAUUCCCGUAGACGAUUAUUUUUCUGAUAUAUGGCAGGAGGAAUUUGAUUUGAGAUUUAAUGGCCAUUAACUCUAAUUAGUGUUUAUUUUUAUUAAUGAAUCAACAAACAGCUAACCCAAAUUUGUUUCAGGGUCUACAAAUGCUAUGGAAUGUAAGGAGUUUGUCUUUUGUGAAAAGGGGUUACAGGAGGGUGGGGGGUAAAAAAAUUUGGGUUACGUCAUUUAUGGAUGGUCUCUCCUGUAAUUUUUUCGGGCUAAAUAAGCUCCCAUAAUUAUAAUUAUAAAGGAUUGACAAUAAAUUUACAAUACAUUGACAAAUUCUGUUAUUAUUAAUUUAUUAAUCAGGCUACUGGAGAAAACAUUAGGAGGGAGGUAGUAAUUUGCCAAAGGGGAAAUGGUCGCUACUCCAAUUCAGUAUCAUGACUUAUGUUAACCAAAAUUCCCUGCUUGGAGUUGUAAGAAAAGGUAAUGAUUGAAUGAUGAAUCAAUUGAAUCAGUUAUAACAAUGUAAUAUUUAAAAAAAAAUUAAAAAUAAACUUAAAUUUUCUCUGGGAGCUCUGUAGAAGGGUUUGGUGUUAAGCCUGGGUAUUGGCUAUAUUUUCUUGAGGUUAUUUGCCCAAAAAUUGGUUUACCAUCAUCUUGCAAAGAUUCUAUCAAAUCAAUUUUCAUCGAUAGGGUCGAUAGGGAAAAAAUGUUAAUGCAAUUCAUCUUUAAAAAAAUAAUUAUUGCAUUUAUUCCGUUGAUAGCUUUAUAAGUCGCAUUUUUAUGUUCGUGUUCCGACUCUUGUGUGAGAGUCGCACGUGAGUUUUUAGAGGGUAUCCUCAUCAUCAUCAUUUUUAUCGUUACUUGAAUUGACUUCGUCUUCUGUGAUUUAUUUUUAGAUUUUAUCCUCUGAUGUGCACUUCCCAUCUUUUUAAAUUUUUCGCAUAGCUGGGAGUUCCU